UGGGGACUCGCCAAGCGGUAAGGCUACGGACUCUGACUCCGUCAUCCGGGGGUUCAAAUCCCUCGUCCCCAGCCA
rnacentral:tRNA from 1 species